GUAAAAAGGCAGAGGUAGUUGCAAGACUUGAGAAAUACUCUUUGAACUUGAUCUAGUUAAUACUAGCGGAGGAAGUCCUAUAAAAUUAUUA
rnacentral:ncRNA from 1 species